rnacentral:snRNA from 1 species
GUGGUGGGAGUGAGUCCAGCGGU